AAUCUUGCGCAAUGGGCGAAAGCCUGACGCAGCCAUGCCGCGUGAAUGAUGAAGGUCUUAGGGUUGUAAAGCUCUUUUACCAGGGAUGAUAAUGACAGUACCUGGAGAAUAAGCUUCGGCUAACUCCGUGCCAGUAGCCGCGGUAAUACGGAGGGAGCUAGCGUGGUUCGGAAAUACUGGGCGUAAAGCGCACGUAGGCGGCGCCGUAAGUCAGGGGUGAAAUCCCGGGGCUCAAACCCGGAACUGCCUUUGAAACUGCAGUGCUAGAAUCUUGGAGAGGUCAGUGGAAUUCCGAGUGUAGAGGUGAAAUUCGUAGAUAUUCGGAAGAACACCAGUGGCGAAGGCGACUGACUGGACAAGUAUUGACGCUGAGGUGCGAAAGCGUGGGGAGCAAACAG
rnacentral:rRNA from 1 species